rnacentral:rRNA from 1 species
UACAGAGGGUGCAAACGUUGCUCGGAAUCAUUGGGCGUAAAGCGCACGUAGGCGGUCUUGUAAGUCAGGAGUGAAAGCCCUCGGCUUAACCGGGGAAGUGCUUUUGAAACUGCAAGACUUGAAUACUGGAGAGGAUCGCGGAAUUCCCGGUGUAGAGGUGAAAUUCGUAGAUAUUGGGAAGAACACCGGUGGCGAAGGCGGCGAGCUGGCCUGUACCUGACGCUGAGGCGCGACAGCGUGGGGAGCAAACAGG